AUCAGGGAGUCCCGGCCCCCUCGGGGGGGAGGGUGGGGUGGAGAACAUCGAGGGUGGGGUUGGCAGGCACCAUCAUCAACGUCAAAAUAAAUCAUAAGGCUUUUGGUGUUGCAUGAUAUAUGAAUCAAUGUUACAAGAAAGAUAAAAAACUAUUUAUUAAUCUAUGACCCGUUUGGUUGAAUUUUUUUUAAUUUUACAAUUUUUUUAAAUAAUUGAUUUACUGAAUGAAUGAAAGGAAGUUUCACCCUCCUGAGUAAUUGUCAUUGAUUGUGAUUUUAUUAGUCACAUUUCCCUGUUGUUCACUCUUUAACUGUCCUCUGUUCGAGUCCUUUUAUUGUCCUCGCAGCUAUCAGGUGAACUUUAGACCCUUUAAGCACAAUAUUAUUAAAGCCAGAUUCAGAGAGCACCCAAAACUCUAACUUUCCAUGGUCUUUCAUUUCUGCUCACACUCCUACCUUUAUCUGGCUGGUAACAAGAGAGGUCGAAGAGAGAGAGAGAGAUAAAGGAGUGAGACCCACGUUUUCACACCACACCUGUUUCUCAUUCCCAGACUCAUCAUUCCUGGCAGGACCGACCAGCCAGUGAGGAAGUACAACACAAGAGCUGCUGCAGCAGGAAGACAGAGGUCCCAUCACCUGUCCAACAGAAGAAGUGUUGAGGACUGCGAGAGGCUGCCGUUGUCCCCUCAGGGAGGGUUGUCUGGACUUCCUUUGUGCUUUUCCUUCAACAGGAGACACACGGGGGGAGUUUAACCUGCAGGGACACGUGUAGGUUUGCUUUUAUUUAAACACCAGUUCUGCUUUUUGAACACCAAGGUGGUCGGAUGUAGGUGAAGUGGCACUUUUCAACGCCUGUCUUGUCCCAAAACAUAAAAACCAAGUGGGUGCACCUUGUGGGGACACGGACCGCGGCGACGUGGCACCGGUUGCUGCUCGCACGUGUUUCACGUUAAACUUGAACAGAUCAUUUGGAUCACAGCUCCGAAUGCUCACGUGGUUUCUGGAAUGGAAGAUGGCAAGUAAGCAUUAUAGGAUUAUUCAAAGCAUCUGGAGUAGUUAAAAGAAGGUUCGCAUUUUAAUGAACGGGGAGCUUGCAACCAUUUGGAUGAGCCAUGUGUUCGCCACACAUUGCUCCACUCAACGAGGGCUGGAGAACAGCAGCUUGUUGCCGGGCGAAAGGCUUUGCACCCAGGUGCCGGAGUGGUCUUACUCCGUUUGACGAGGACAGUAAGAGGCAAACAGCAUAUGUGCCAAGUCAUUAGUUAUAAUCCAACCAGUGUCAAAAUGGCCAUAAAAAAAGCCACAAGUAAAGGAUGAAAGCUUCAGGCUUGGGCAUGGAGUCUUUUAAAGUUUUAUUCUUCCAUUUAGUGAGGCUUGUUUUUAAAUGACAAGCAUUUAUCUAAAUUUACAGCUUUAUGUGAUGUUAAUCCUACUGAAAAAAAAAACGUCUUUUGUUAAUGAGUUAGAGGCCCUUGGAAAGUCGUGUCCCCACCCAAACAAAUGUUUCAACUUAUUCAGAUUAAGCAUCUGGGAGCAUGAGAAAGAGCUUUUCAUUCUGCACUUGAUCCCAGCAGGGAAUUUGGUGCAACCUCGCAAGGAGCUCAAAGAAUUUUGGUUCUGCUUUUUUUGGUAAAUCCUGAUCCUGGCGGUCCGUGAUUUUUCCCGUUUCACGGCUGUCAGUCACAGAGGUGGUCUCCUCUCCCAACCCUGGGGAGUUCGGAGGAGAAUGGAUUCCCUCUGUGCCAUCAUCAAAAUCACAUUGUCUGAAUCUGCUGGUCCACGAUGAAACUUGGAGGCUUUUCCUGAAUUUGACUUUAAUUAGACGGACCCUUUGGACCUUUUUCUGCUCUUUGAUCCACUGGAGUUCUUGCAGGAAGCUUAACUGGCCCUAAUCAGCAGCUUGAGAACCAUUUCAGGCUACCCUGAGGGGUGCAGAGAGGAGUCAGGCUGAAGGGGAGGGGGGCCAGACUAGAAGUCUGGCUCCAAACACAGAUAGGGGAACUAACAGGCCUCGUGUCAUACGGUCACUAAAUCAAGGAGUCUGUUAAACUGGACACAACUGCAUUUGAUGCCAGGAUCUGACACGCUCACACCCUUUAUGGGACAAUUAGACAGACCAUUGCUCAGUCCACGGUUGUUGAUGUAAAGGGGAAGUCCAACAAUGCUUGCAGAUGGUGAUAACCCCACAAAAAUACCCUGCUGUUUCAACAAUAGCUUAGCUGUUGAUGUGUGAAACAUGCGAUUGGGAAUUUUUUUCUAACACUUAAACUAAAAAAAUAAAUCUAAAAUUUACAUAAACUCAUUUUGCAUAUGAAAUAAAAGCAUCAAUCAAGAUUUAAUCAUCCUGUCAAGGUUUCUCAAAUAUUAAUUCAAUUCAGUUUAUUUAUAUAGCGCCAAAUCAUGACACAAGUCGUCUCAAGGCACUUCACAGAGUAAUA